GGCAGAGUAGUGGUGUUGGCUGGAGCAGAAACUCCUCUGAGUGUGUUUUGCUGAUGGAAGGUACGGCUUCUUGUGAAGGAACUGGGUGUUUUGAGGAUGCAUCUGUGCAUCAAGGUGCUCCAGAAGGGCUUAGCAAAAACUGCUGUGGUCCAGAGAGAGCGGCACACCCUGCCCAGUGUAGGGCACCAUGCUCAGGUCUAUGGGACAUGUUCUUCUCCUCCCCUCCUUCAAGGAGCCCAUUGAAAAAGCACGGAGAGUGUUUUGCUAUCGCUGUCUGACUUGCAAAUAGCCAACACCGAAACCCUGAAAGAUUUACUGGGGGGGCAGAGGACAUAAUGGCAAAAUGGGGGUUUCCACCUCAGUGUGGCUGGGAGCAGUGAGCCCCGGAGCAUUGCACCCCACAGCCCUGCUGAGUGCAGCUGGGUCACGUCCCAGACCCUGUAGGAUGCCCGUGAGCCACAUCCAAGUGUUUGUUGUGGGGUUGCUACUGGAGGCUGUGGCUGAAGGGAGUUUCUCAGGCGUGUUGUUGAGUCACCCGAUCCAGGAGGAGCCGGGAUGGGAGGUGCGUUGCCCCUGGCCCUGCAGCCGACCCUGGCUGGGGACUGCUAUUUAAAUCGCCAGCAGAAGUGUCAGUGUAUCUGUGACAUUUUUCAAAGAUGGCUGAGGAGACCAGGAGCUGACAAAUGAUUCUUCUACUUCUCCUGGCUAAUUUUGGAUUCUCUGCAUUUACCAACAGGUGCUGACACGUCCCCAGGUCCUACAAUUCUCCUAUGCCUUUAUCUGGGGUUUUGCAGCUUCUAAACCUGGGGAGCGGAGAGCGGAGCAAUCAGGGCUCACCUCAGCUCUACAUCAGUUUUAGUGUUGGGAUGAGGGCAUGAACUCCAUUUCUAAAUCAGCUCUAAUGUAGUGUACAGACCUAUAGAGGUGAGGAUGUGGACAAGUGUUCAGAAUUUGGAGAAAAAUGCAUCUGACUGCUUGCUUACAUUGCUCUUUUACUGGAUAUGGAUUGAAGGAAUCCGAAUUACCAAUGCCUUAAAUAACCACAAUAUCGGGUAGCAAGAGCACAGAGAACAGAGCUCAGAGCUGCUGCAGGCUGAGCUGCCCUGGGAACUCUGUGAGCCUGGAGUCAAAAGUGCUGACCUGAAUAAGAAUGAAACCGUUCGAGGCAGCUGAAACUUAGUGCAGAGCCUGACUAAAAGGCCUUCCAUUUCACUGCAAGUCACUGUGAAUAACUUGCUGUUUCUUGGCUGAAGCUGUGGUGCAAAGAGCAGGAGGCAGCAUUACACGGCAUGCUUUUCAUUGCUGAUGUCAGUUUUGAUACAGUCCCACUGGGACCAUAGAAAGCUCUGCCCUAUUAUGUUUUGGAACAAUAGGAUCGCUGCAGAAGAAAGACACCAAGUGUGAUCGUGCCAAGCUGAUUCCUUCCCAGUCGCAGCCUGAGCAAAACCUCUCAGGAACCAACAUCCUCAUGUCUUGUGGUGGUCAAAAUCAGUGCUCACACCUGUGUGGUGUGGCUCUUAUUGGCCUGCCAGUACACCUAAUUCUUGCAAGGAUUGCAUGUUGCAUUUCUGCUGUCUUGCAGUGCCAUGGGGUGUGCUGGAGCUUGAGCACUGCAAGCACCUAAUGCCCGCAGCACUCAGAAAGGCCCAUGUGUGUGAGGAUGCUGAUUUCAUGCCUUAUCUCCAGUGGUGGCUGAAGUUUGAAUGUUUAAGAAUCCAUAUCUCUAUCCAAACCUCAUUAACAUUUGCUUACAUCUCUAUGGACUUCUUUCUUUGUUGUCGAGGAAGUGCUGAUGUCUACUGCCCAUGCUUUAACAAAUGUUGGGGUUUGAAUGACCUCAUGAUAGCAUUUCCACUACAAGGAGGCUGAGUUUUAAUCAUAAAUCUGUGUGAUUUAUGUGCACCCGGUGGAAGGCAGGGCCAACACAGGAGAGCUCAGGUGUAUGCAAUGAAGCUGAGUGACCAGAAGGUGGGGAACAAGGAUCCACCCCUUCCCAGCCCUCAUUUAAGGGUUGGCAGCAGAGGUAGAACUAUCUUUCUUGGAGAUCCCUGUGCACCUGAGGAUAUUGCAGGCCUUUUGAAGUGCUGGGUCUCCACGUUGCUGGAACAACAACAACAAAGAGGCCAAUCUUUACAACGUCGGAACAGUUUGCCAAGCUUAAGAACCUCAUUUUGUACUUUAAUUGGCUGACCUGCUGGAAUAAGAAUGAAAACCCCACUUGGCUGCACUCUGCUCAUUGCUCAGUACAGGGCAGUGCCCAUGGUGAGGAGCAGGAUUGUCACCAUCUGUGUCCUGUCAAUGUACAGAAGUGUUCCUGCUGCCAUUUUUAGGGAAAAGCAACAUGAGGUAUUGGGGCAAAGCUCAGCCUGAACUGUGGCCAUUAGACCUUUCUUGGUUUGUCUUCUAAACAAAUCUUGUGUAAAACUCUAAGCAGGGCCUGAUCUCAAAGCAGAGCUGUCCUUGGGCAGGAGUUCACACAAGUGGAUCUGUACCUUCCUUGGGGUUUUAGGCAGCUGUGCUCUGCAGUGCUGGGGAAGCUCAGGACAAGUUGUCAUUUCUUGUUGUGCUUGUGAAUGUCUUUGUGGUCUCCUUCACACAACCCCGACUUCCACCUCUGUCCAGGGCUCUUUGCUGAGAUGUUGGAUGUGAGUUCAGCUGAAUUUUUGGGUGGGAGAGCUGACGUACAUUGACAGGAACAGACUGAAGCCGGGAUGUCGUGAAAUAAUGGUAACAAGCUCUGAUGAAUGACAUCAAAACUUGACUGAAGCAAAGCCUAACGCGAUAUACAGAGAGCCAGAAGACAGAUAGGAACCGUGGAGGAAGCUGAGGAGGAACAAUGAGGCCAUGAUAAGAUAGCGCCUGGGGGAACACAAUGCAAAAGUGACUGGGGCAGCAGAAACUGUGGCUGGUGCCAAGAAAGAAACAGCGUGGUAGCACUGAUGGUCAUAUAUAUCAAUGGUCUGAGGAGAGCCCAAGGGUUGGGAGCAAGGCUGGAAGGAGACCAGAGUCCCAGACCUCACAGCACAGUGGACGUGGUUCCCUUGUUGCUGAAGAUGGAAAGGCCACUUGCUUUGGACCACUUUUAUCCAAGGGAAUACAAAAUAAAAACAUGGGUGUGGAAGAAACAGAGAGAGGAAAAAAAUAUCCUGAUGGUAAAUGGGGUGGAAGUGGGUGAGGCAAGGGAACGGGAUUCAGAUCAGGCUGACACUGGUUAUUUAUUGCUGUUUGUAUCUCCAUAUCUUACAUCUCAAGAGGAAGGCGAAGGCUUUGUCCGCCAGGGCUGUUAUCAGCCUGGCAGCAGCCGGGUUCCCAUGGCUGUGUCCCUUUAGUGGUGGUGAUGCUGGGCUGACCCUGUGCUGGCUUUGAGGUGGGUGAUGGGAACGUGUGGUUCUCAGGUAGCAAUGGGCUGCUGUUGUGCUCAGCUGAACACUGGAGCAUGUGAAGUCAUUCAAAGAGGUUUGCAGUGGAGAUGAUGCUGAUGAGUUCUGAACGUGGUGGGGUGGCACUGUCCAAGGAGGCCAUCCUUGCUCAGCAGAACAUGUCAGCAUGUGCAUAGCUGUAGGCAUCUAAUGAGUGCUGAGGCCUUGGCACAAGGCUGUACCUGACCCCCUUCUCUUUUCCUGAAUUGAGCUCACACCGUAACACUCCACUAACAGGGAAUCAGGGACAGCAAAGCCAGUCUUGCUCUAAUUUUCAUAUUCAUUCCCAGAGGUUACUUGGCAAAAUUGUACUCUGUGCUCUUUUAAGUAGAAAUCUAGGACAUCAUUGUUUGAAUAGAGAGCUACAAGUGAUAAAAAUCUGUUUGUACCGCAAUAUCUCCAGCCAAAUGAUUGACGUAUGUGCUCCCGUCCUUCUAUUGAUGUAACUUUUCAAUUUCCUGCUGGUGUCUAAGUUUGAUUUAUUUCUUUUUUUACAAAGAGCACUGAGAGCUUUUUCUGUCAGUUUGUGCCUGUUCUGCCUUCUACCCAUGUGUGGGCAGGGAGCCUCUACCAGUUCCCAGCUGGUUGAAGUCCUUUGGUUCCUUGGAAAGUAGCUCCAUGCUGCUGGUUGUCCCAGGGUAAGUGGAGUCUUGAAAGCAAGUCAGGAAAAAGCAGAUUGAAUUCAGAAGCAAAACUGAUUUAUUGCCUGCAGAUUUGUAACAUGGUUGCUCCAAUGUGACUCUGGAGUAGUGAUGUACCUCCUACAACUCACCCCAUGGAGGUUUAUGUGAGGUACAUGAAACAUAAACACCCAUGUUGCCCUAUGGGAAGAUGUGUAGGUUUUGCCCUUAGCAGCUCUUUCUCCAAAGGCAACUGGUGCACAGAGCUGAACACCUUGCCUUGAAAUCCAUUUCUGUUCUGCAAAGCACAUGAGCAGGGCUGGGGACGUGAGGGAAAUGAGUCCCUGGCUGAAGUGUUUUCUAUGGCACAAAGGGGGAGCAGUGCACUGAGUGGGAUUUGCUUCAUGUGGCACCAAGCAGAGCGGGACUGAUGCCAGCGGAGACCGGCAGCAGGAGCUGAGGGUGGGGGGCACCGGCCCCCAUAUGGGGGGGCUGCUGGGUGCGAUGGGGGCUGGGCAGUGGUGGAUUGCUGGGCUGCAUCUGCCACCUCCCGGCGGAUCGUGCUGCCGAGAUCCAUCCCUGUUCAGCUGAGACCUUCACCUGCAAAUCGACUUAGCAGGGAGGAAAUUAGAUUGAAGUCAGUGCGUCGGCCUGGUGAGCAUAGGUGCGUUUUUCGUAGCUACGGUGCGUUUUUCCUUUCUAUAUUCCACCCUGAAUUUCCGCUCCUCCACUAAAAGGAGCAUCAUAGCGGCUGUUUUCUAAAGCUGUAAAGAUCGAAUAGAUUUACAAAUCGUGAGCACAAAGCGAGGAAUGGAUUAAACGCGCUACUUAAACGCUACAAAACCCAACAGCCGGGGGUCUGUCCCCCACCCGGGGGUCUCAGGCUCCAUCGCCGCUGUGUGCUGCCCCCUGACGGCACAGACUGGAGCCGCUCCGGGGCUCAGCGGGGAGGGAGCAGCAGCGUCCCCGUGUGGCUCCGGGGUUCAGAAUGGAGGAGAUUUAUUUCCCGGGGCUAUUUCUAGCAAUGACACCGCGGUUAAGCCAAUCAUCCCGGCGCUGACGGCUUCACACCGGGCGGCACAUCCGAGGCAGCGCCGCCUGCCCUUGGGGGCUGCACUAUGGGCUCCUCCAGGCAACGUGCUCGUGGGGUCCCACGGGCUCCUUUUCCCAAGGCUUAUCACGUUCAUUGCUGUUCUCUGGCAGCACAGACGUUCAGUGCAGUUUGUGUGAUAAGCUCUGCUUCUCCAUGCGGUGUGAAGUUACACUGGUGCUACUCGGCAUCACCAGGUGCUCAUCCUCACCAUGUAGGAUCAUCUCGAAGCGUGUCUCCUGCAGUGCCCGGUCUGUGCUUAUUUCCUCUGGAUACAGAUCUGCCCUGAGCUAACAGGGCUGUGGGGCUGCUCUUGGCCUUGAGGCGGGCGCCGUGUGGCCCCAUGACAUAUUUCUUACUCACAGCUUAGACGCUCCGGAUCCGAUUCCCGCUGACAUGUAAAGCCCUUUUCCACAGCUCCAGCAGCAUUAAGACGGUGACAGCCUAAUCCUUCCCUAAAGCCCUCCUGUGCUGUAAUGCUGAUCAAAACCUUCGGGUUCUGUGUGGUGAGGGGGAAGGAUCCCAGCAAGGAGUAUGCUCCCGAGGUCCCGGCCAGCAGCCAGCCCCCCAUCCGGCUGGUGGUGAUGCAGCAGGGCGCCCCGGGCACCCGCUGGGCAAAGGGGCUCGUCUCUGCUUACGAGACCUCUCCUGACCUGCAGGGGAAAAGGACUACAGUGGUGUGAGGGCCUUGUGCUCUGCCGACCUGCCUGCCUCAGCACCUCUGUUUACUCUCUGUUUGCUAAAGGAUAACAAGUCCA